AAUGGUUGUGGGGUGUUCAAAUUUACAAUGAACAAAUCACAGAUUUGUUGGAUCCAAGCCAAAGAAAUCUUCAGAUAAGAGAAGAUGUCAAAUCUGGUGUUUAUGUUGAAAAUUUGA